UACGUAGGGGGCUAGCGUUGUCCGGAAUCAUUGGGCGUAAAGAGCGUGUAGGCGGCCAGGUAGGUCUGCUGUGAAAACUCGAGGCUCAACCUCGAGACGUCGGCGGAAACCAUCUGGCUAGAGUCCGGAAGAGGAGAGUGGAAUUCCUGGUGUAGCGGUGAAAUGCGCAGAUAUCAGGAGGAACACCAAUUGCGAAGGCAGCUCGCUGGGACGUGACUGACGCUGAGACGCGAAAGCGUGGGGAGCAAACAGG
rnacentral:rRNA from 1 species